CGUAACUGACCAACCAAGAGCUGCUUGGUUCAUGGGUAGCAGUUCCAAGGUGGAUGGAUAACAUACUAUUUGGAAGUCCACUGCUCUGACUGAGGAAGACUACUACGAAAUAUUGAAUACUGUAUAGCACAGGAAACUAUGGCAGAGAAUAACUGUAGUGACUAAGCUUCCAGGCACAGCACGGACGUCCUGAAAAGCAGCAAUCCUGAAGGUACGAGCAGUCUCCCCUACAAUGCCGGUGAUCACACGAGAAAAACUCCCCUUCCUCUCCAAACUACUGUCACGCUCCCGAGCGUGUCAACCUGGAUAUCCCAUCCUUCUCAACUCAAAUCUAAACUGCCGUCACUGUCAUGCCCACCGAGACCUCUUCCAUUUCCCUGACUAGUGCUAUUGGCUGAGGAAACGCUGUCUUCUCUCUCCUUCCUCCUGUCCUUCCACCAGCAGGAGGAAAAGUUGUGGUCUCCACUGUUCGCACUCAAGGACAAUUGCUGAAGAAUGCUCUCCUUCUCCUCACCCUCUCCAUGUGGUUGGGGAAGUAAGACAGACUCGACCAAUCCCAUAUGGAAGCUACUUAGACUUAAAAAAGGCUUAAGAAUGGUGGUUCCAAGACAUUUAGAUUUCAUGUAGCAGAAAAAAAAUCAAAAUAGCACCUGAGGAGCUGACACAGGUAUGCCAAUUUGUAUUUUACCAAAGAAAGACCAUCCACUACCACCAGUCACUUCACAGAAGGACAUUUUAACCCAUUUCACACAUAACCCUUGGUUUUAGAACUUGAUAGGUUAAUCUCAGAAUAAGGACAAAUCAUGUUCACACAGGUUAUUUUUCCAUUUUGGUAUAAAACAUGCUAAUUUCCCUCAUGUAGCAUGAACUGAUGCAAAGUUUAUCACAAACAGCUAGGUCUAUACUGGCUUUACUAUUAGGAGGCAAACACCAAUGGUCUUUUCUUGACUCAGUUAUAAGCAUGUAUUUUCCUGACUAUCUUCUGUCCAUUUAUUUUUCAUGGGAACACCACAGAGAGAAGUAGCCAAAGCAAACGAUCAAGUGUUUGUUUUGGGUCAUGGGUUUGCUGUUUGUUCUCAUGUCCUUCCUCUAGUCCCCUUCUGUAUCUUAAUAUUACAGCCUUUUCACCCUCUCCUCCUUAAGCCAUACUGGAAACCAUCCACAGACUUCCUAAUACCAAUUACUAUUCCUAAUCUUCCUUAUUUGCUAGUCUUCUGCUCAAAAAAAGGUAGGAAAAAUAGCACAUCUAGGUAUGAUGGAGCAGUUGAUGGCAGACCAGUGCUCCCAAUGAAAAGCUGGAUGAGUACACAAGUCAUAUCUAAUGGCAUCCAAGAGCUGUAGAAGCAAGGAAGAGAAAAUGGAGUAACAUUCUGGACAGGGACAACCUUUCAAAGGUAUGCUGAAGAUUUUCAGCUGACCCUGAGCACAACCCAGCCUGGACUCAGGUCAGUCUAUCUAAAGUGCACCAAACUACCCCUUCCACACACCUCACUACUCUGUUUAUUAGAGGGAAGAGUGAACCUUCUCAAAAUUACCUCAAGGCUCUCGAGUUUCUUAUAAACAAUGCCUGGCCUUCAAAGAUUAUGAGGCAUCCACAAAGACAGCACCUUAUCGUCACACCAAAAGGAGGCUAAAAGAGGCCCACACACUGGAUUCAGUAGACAAAGAUCUUAAAAUAAAUAUGACUCAUAUUCAAGGAAAGAGAGAGGUAAAGAUAGUCGAAGUAGAAAAUACAGGUAUUCAAUAGUAAAUUAAAUCUACUUUUUAAAAAAAAUCAAUGUAUGGGCUACACAGCAGAAGAAUCAGAGUGAGGAAGUAGGGGAAAGAGAGGACUGACCAAAUGAGAACUCUGAGGCACAGUCAGAAGGUGAACAAGCAUGUAAUUAUAGUCCUAGAAAGAGAAGAGAGAAAAUGGGCCAGAAGCCAAUUCUGAAGAUCCAAUGGCCAAGGACUUUCCAAAACUGAUGAAAGACAUAAAAUCCAAUGAAAGAAAGAAUCAAGCUCAGGGAAUCCACAAAAAUUCAAUACCUAAGCAAACACACACCCCUGUACCUACCAUACAAAACUGCAAAAAUAAAAUGACAGAAAAAAUCCUAAAUGCAGCUAAACAAUACAUUCUUUUCACAGAAACAAGCUGGAUAGCUGAUGUAACAGAAAUGAUGGAAGCCAGAAAACAGUACAACAGCAUCUUUAAAGUACUGAAAGAAAAGAUCUGCCAAUCCGGACUUCUACAUCCAGAAAAAAACACCCUGUGAAAAUAAAGGUGCUUUAAAGGCACUUUCAGACAAAAGCUGAGAGAACUCCUGGCUAAAGUCUUCCAUCACAAUGUAUAUAGUACCAAAGGAUGCUCUUUAGGCAGAAUGACAAUGAUCCCAGACAGAAAAACCAAAAAUGCAGGCAAGAAUUCAGAGAAUAAAUAUAAGUGAAUAGAGUGUACAGAACUAUACUAAUAUCUUAGGAGUUUAAAAUAUAUACACAAUUAAGAUACUUAAUACUGCAAAAGAUGAAGGGGGUAAAUGGUAUUGAAAGUAGUUCAGUAUUAUCAAAGUCAUAAUUUUUAUUAAAACAUAAUACGUGGAAAAAGGCACAACGGAAUCUCUAAGGUAGCCCUUAAAUGAAUAUUUCAGUUUCCCCCUCUGUUAACCUUUUAAUAUUCAUCAUCACUGGAUGGUUGCUUGGUGCUUACAUAGAAAGUUCAAACUUCCCAACCUAGCAAUCAAAGCUCUUCCAGCUACUUUCUGAUUUCCUAUCCAACAGUGUUCAGCCAAGCUGAUAAAAUCACUGACCCCUGAAUACAUCUUAAUCAUCGUCACACUUCUCCUCCAUGCAGAAUGUCCUAGCUAUUCUUUUCUACUUAACCAAAUAAUUCAGCUCAAGUCCCAAUCAUUCACGGAUCUUACCUGACACCAUCUCCACAUCAAGUUAAUUCCAUUGAAAAUGUACAUAGCAUUUUAUGUACAGCCCACGUGCAGCAACGAAGACCCAAUGCAGCCAAGAAUUUAAAAAAUAAAAAAAUAUGUUCCUCUACUGACAGGUGUUUGGUGAUACCUAUCAGUGUGAAAAGAUAUUUAAAAAAAAAAAAGAUGAAUUAUGUUGCUGGAGGGUUUUUCCAAACUAGAUGAGGUAGUGUUCAACAGAACUCAAACCUAGUGACUGCCUCCAGGCCCUCUUGCCAUACCUUCCAUUACUCUGAAUGACUGUGUAAAUGAUUGUCACUGGAGGUCAACAUCCAAGCCAAUAACUAAAUCACUGUAUCAUAUGUAAUUGAUUAUUAACACAAUCUUAGCAUGCAGGGAACACAAUGUCCAUUUUAUAAUUAAAAAGGAGAAACGAGCAGAAAGGUGAGCUGAGCUACACAGGUCACACAGCUAGUUAGAUGACAGAGCUAGACCAGAACGUAAUUUUCUCUCUGGGUCUAAAAUAGGAUACAUUUUUUUACUAGAUGUUCAGUGUAAGCAAUCAUAUUUUGCUCCUAAGAGAAACAUAAUAAGCCUCUUACUGAACCAUUAUACGCCAACAAACUGGACAACCUAGAAGAAAUGCAUAAAUUCCUAAAAACACACAACCUGAAUCAAAAGAAACAGAAAAUCUUAACAAAUGGAUUACUUGUAAGGAGACCGAAUCAGUAAUCAAAAACCUCCCAACACACAAAAGUCCAGAA